GACCUACCCCACCCCCUUCAAUACUUGGGAUUCCCCCCCGCCCCGCCCCACCAGUUUUCCAAAAGAUCACCCUCCUCAGAGGGGCUUCCUGACCCUCGUUCAUUUUUGUUCUGACAGCGCUGGGGACCAACAGGGAGAUCGGGAAGUGCCCGUCUCACGACAUAGACGAAAACAUCAGUCCCAGGGAGGAACUCGCUUAGAACGAGUCAGCCUGGAGCCAGUUGGGGUUCCCGACCCUUCGUCCUGGAAAACUGCGCGUUUUUCUGUUUGAAGAUGGGCAGAGCAGGUAGCGACAGGAAGGAUCCCAAGAGAGGCGUGGGGGGCCGCCACAGUCAGGUUCCAAGUCGGAGUCCUGUCUUGCCCAUCAGGAUUCCCUCUUUGGGUAGGAAUGCGGAUGUUACUCUUCCCUUUAAAAAUAGGGCCGGGCGCGGUGGCUCACGCCUGUAAUCCCAGCACUUUGGGAGGCCGAGGCGGGUGGAUCACGAGGUCAAGAGAUCGAGACCAUCCUGGUCAACAUGGUGAAACCCCGUCUCGACUAAAGAUACAAAAAAUUAGCUGGGCAUGGUGGCGCGCGCCUGUAAUCCCAGUUACUCAGGAGGCUGAGGCAGGAGAAUUGCCUGAACCCAGGAGACGGAGGUUGCGGUGAGCCGAGAUCGCGCCAUUGCACUGCAGCCUGGGUAACAAGAGUGAAACUCUGUCUCAAAAAAAAAAAAGUAGUUAAACAUAACUAUUCAGGUGGAUUUACCACAAGGCUAGUAAAGCUCAAGCUUCAGAGGCUCCUCGCGGGGACAACUCCUUCCCUACGUAACGAGUGCCAACAGUUCCAAGUGUUUAAGAGUAGUCAUUGCUCAAAAAAGUUUCCCAUGCCCUCUAAACUUAACUUCAUACCUGAAAGAAACGUGAUUAUGAUUUUCCCAAACUUGACAAUACUGAAAGUACAACUGUCAUGAAUCUGAAAUAAAAGUUUCUUAAACUGCAAAUUGUUGUGUGAAGAACAGACUGAAGGUCGUAGGGAGGAAAGUACAACACAGCUGUGUAAGGCCUACAAUCCCAGCACUUUAAGAGGCCAAGCCAGGUGGAUCACCUGAGGUCAGGAGUUCGAGACAAGCCUGGCCAACAUGGUAAAAAGCUGUCUCUACUAGAAAAAUAAAAUUAGCCGGAUCAGAAGCCGCUGAGCUCUUCCCUGGUUAUUGCACGUCUAAAGGCCGAGCAGCCCCGUACGUAGCUAGGAUGCCACCAGGAAGCCGAAGCCGCUCCUCCCGCAUGUCCCCUCCGGCCAGCCGGGCCCCUCAGAUGAGAGCUGCGCCCAGGCUCAGCCACCAGCAUCGGCACCCCCCUCUGCAGUUGGCUCUCCUGCUGCUGCGCCCAGGCAGCCAGGUCUGCUGUCCCAGAUGGCAAGCACUGCAGCUGGCGUGGCUGUGGGCGCUGCUGUGGGGCACACACUGGGCCACGCCAUUACUGGGGGCUUCAGUGGAGGAAGUGAUCCUGAGCCUGCGAGGCCUGACAUCACUUACCAGGAGCCUCAGGGAACCCAGCCGGCACAGCAGCAGCGGCCUUGUUUCUAUGAGAUCAAACAGUUCUUGGAGCGUGCCCAGAACCAGGGUGACAUCAGGCUCUGCGAGGGUUUCAGUGAGGUGCUGAAACAGUGCCGACUUGCAAACGGAUUGGCCUGAUCAAGAAGUUCAAACUGGAGAAAUGGAAAACCAGCUCUUAUAACCAAGUUAACUUGAUAUAAAAAUUUAAUUAAUAGUGAAGGUAUAAAGUGUAGCCAUCAGGUAAACCUCUCCUGUCAUUCCUAGCUUCCUUGCUUCAGAAUUGAAAUGGAAGGGGUUUUUCCUACUCUGUAGAAUUUGGAGCUGGUCAAAUGUUUGUGUGGCCUCCUUAAACUAGUUGUUAUGAUUUUAUUCUUUGUGAGGUAAUUAGAAUAAAGCGAUUUUCUUCCAAAAAAAAAAAAAAA